rnacentral:rRNA from 1 species
UUAGGGUAUGUGGGGUAGGGGAGCGUUCUGUAAGCCGUUGAAGGUGGUCUGUAAGGGCUGCUGGAGGUAUCAGAAGUGCGAAUGCUGACAUGAGUAACGAUAAAGGGAGUGAAAAACUCCCUCGCCGGAAGACCAAGGGUUCCUGUCCAACGUUAAUCGGGGCAGGGUAAGUCGACUCCUAAGGCGAGGCCGAAAGGCGUAGUCGAUGGGAAACGGGUUAAUAUUCCCGUACUUCUUACAAUUGCGAUGGGGGGACGGAGAAGGCUAGGUGGGCCUGGCGACGGUUGUCCAGGUUCAAGUACGUAGGCGGGUGGUUUAGGUAAAUCCGGACCGCUAUUAACGCUGAGAUACGAUGUCGAGCUACUACGGUAGUGAAGUCAUUGAUGCCAUGCUUCCAGGAAAAGCCUCUAAGCUUCAGAUUGUAAGGAAUCGUACCCCAAACCGACACAGGUGGUCGGGUAGAGAAUACCAAGGCGCUUGAGAGAACUCGGGUGAAGGAACUAGGCAAAAUGGUACCGUAACUUCGGGAGAAGGUACGCUCUUAUCAGUGAAGUCCCUUGCGGAUGGAGCAGACGAGAGUCGCAGAUACCAGGUGGCUGCAACUGUUUAUUAAAAACACAGCACUGUGCAAAAUCGUAAGAUGACGUAUACGGUGUGACGCCUGCCCGGUGCCGGAAGGUUAAUUGAUGGGGUUAGACUUCGGUCGAAGCUCUUGAUCGAAGCCCCGGUAAACGGCGGCCGUAACUAUAACGGUCCUAAGGUAGCGAAAUUCCUUGUCGGGUAAGUUCCGACCUGCACGAAUGGCGUAAUGAUGGCCACGCUGUCUCCACCCGAGACUCAGUGAAAUUGAAAUCGCUGUGAAGAUGCAGUGUACCCGCGGCUAGACGGAAAGACCCCGUGAACCUUUACUACAGCUUGGCACUGAACAUUGAACCUACAUGUGUAGGAUAGGUGGGAGACUAUGAAACCGCGUCGCUAGAUGUGGUGGAGUCGUCCUUGAAAUACCACCCUUGUAGUUUUGAUGUUCUAACGUUGGUCCCUGAAUCGGGAUUACGGACAGUGCCUGGUGGGUAGUUUGACUGGGGCGGUCUCCUCCCAAAGAGUAACGGAGGAGCACGAAGGUGGGCUAAACACGGUUGGACAUCGUGUG